AUGAACGCUGGCGGCGUGCCUCAUACCUGCAAGUCGAGCGAACAGACGAGGAGCUUGCUCCUCUGACGUUAGCGGCGGACGGGUGAGUAACCCGUGGAUAACCUACCUAUAAGACUGGGAUAACUUCGGGAAACCGGAGCUAAUACCGGAUAAUAUAUUGAACCGCAUGGUUCCAUAGUGAAAGACGGUUUUGCUGUCACUUAUAGAUGGAUCCGCGCCGCAUUAGCUAGUUGGUAAGGUAACGGCUUACCAAGGCGACGAUGCGUAGCCGACCUGAGAGGGUGAUCGGCCACACUGGAACUGAGACACGGUCCAGACUCCUACGGGAGGCAGCAGUAGGGAAUCUUCCGCAAUGGGCGAAAGCCUGACGGAGCAACGCCGCGUGAGUGAUGAAGGUCUUCGGAUCGUAAAACUCUGUUAUUAGGGAAGAACAAAUGUGUAAGUAACUAUGCACGUCUUGACGGUACCUAAUCAGAAAGCCACGGCUAACUACGUG
rnacentral:rRNA from 1 species